GAAAUCAACAUUUCUACCGCUCUUCAUUUGUUCAAGUUUAGCUAUACGAACUCAAUUUUAUAGUUUUGUGAUCCGAUCAAACUGAUUUAGCUAUUCGUCUUCUUUUUAUUUAUUUAUAUUGAAGCUCAUAGUUCAAUUGUAUGGUCAAACUGUUUGUUUAUUACAAGAUCCAGUUUUACGUGACAAUGGAGUUACCUAUUUGUUUAUUCAGCAUAAUAAUGUUUAUUUGAUGACUGCUUCUAGACAGAACUGCAACGCUGCAAGCCUUCUCCUCUUUCUUCAUCGUGUAGUUGAUCAUUUUUUGAAGAGCUGGAGGAAGAAUUACUGAGAGAUAACUUUGUUGUUGUGAAUGAAUUGCUUAAUGAGAUGAUGGACUUUGGUUACCCUUAGUAUACAGAAGCAAAGAUUCUCAGUGAAUUUAUCAAGAUUGAUGCUUACAGGAUGUAAGUUGCUCAGAGGCCACCCAUGCCUGUAACAAAUGCUGUAUCUUGGCGUAGAGAGGGCAUACAAUAUAAGAAAAAUGAAGAAUCUCAGUUGACUCAAAGAGAAGGGACUGACUGGAUUGCUUCCAAGGAGAGUUAAAUGCUUCUCUAGGAAUCUACAUUGUAUUGUGCUCUCUUUGCUCUUGCUACUCAGAUUAAUUUACAUAAAACAAAUUCAGCCGUUUCGCCAUUGGCAACAUCCAAACUAGUGCAUCCUACUAGCGCCAUUACUUGGACAGAUGAAGGCCUCUCUUUAGGUCAUGGAAGAAUGAGCUGAAUCCGAAUAAUCGAAAUUAGUGGGACUCCAAUUUAUUCAAUUGCUUAGGCCGCAACGAAGAAUUCUGCAACAGCGAUCUCGAAGUUUAUAAGUUUUCCAGUUUCAAUUAGGUCUCUUCUUGAUGUGUUGUUUAAGGGUUAUUUGAAGCUCAAAGUGGCAUAACUGUUCAUAUAUUUAUAAACCUGUUCUAGUAAUUCAGAUCUGAUAUGGAUUAGUUGAUGAUGAUAUGUGAAGACAAUUCCUUCUAUUUCUUA